UUCCCCGUCAUUUUGGGGUCACUUUCCUGUUCCAGACCAUUUUGGGGUCAUUUUUGACUAUUUUGAGGUCAUUUUGGACCAUUUUGGGGUCAUUCCAGACAAUUUUGGGGUCACUUCCUGAUCAUUUUGGGGUCAUUCCUGAUCAUUUUGGGGUCAUUCCCGACCAUUUUGGGGUCAUUCCAGACCAUUUUGGGGUCAUUCCUGAUCAUUUUGGGGUCACUUCCAGCUCAUUCCCAACCGUUUGACGUCAUCCCCGACCAUUUUGGGGUCAUUCCAGACCAUUUUGGGGUCGUUUCCCAUCACUUUGGUGUCACUUUCAGGUCCGUCCCAAACCUUUUGGGGUCAUUCCAGGCCAUUUUGGGGUCAUUUUG
rnacentral:lncRNA from 1 species